rnacentral:rRNA from 1 species
AUACGUAGGGGGCGAGCGUUGUCCGGAAUUAUUGGGCGUAAAGGGCGCGUAGGCGGUGACACAAGUCAGGUGAUAAAGGCACGGGCCCAACCGGUGUUAUACACUUGAAACUGUGUUACUAGAGUGCAGGAGAGGGGGGUGGAAUUCCAGGUGUAGCGGUGAAAUGCGUAGAUAUCUGGAAGAACACCAGUGGCGAAGGCGGCUCUCUGGACUGUAACUGACGCUGAGGCGCGAAAGCUGGGGGAGCAAACAGGAUUAGAUACCCUGGUAGUCCCAGCCGUAAACGAUGAACACUAGGUGUAGGGGGUAUCGACCCCCCCUGUGCCGGAGCUAACGCAAUAAGUGUUCCGCCUGGGGAGUACGGCCGCAAGGUUGAA